GUAGGUAUAGCUCAGUGGUAGAGUGCAUGUUUAGCAUGCACAAAGUCCUAGGUUUAAUCCUCAGUGCCUCCA
rnacentral:tRNA from 1 species